GUUAGGUUCAUACAAAUAUUUACACAUGUUAAGUUUGCUGAAAAUAAACGCAGUUGACAGUGAGAGGACGUUUCUUUUUUUGCUGAGUUUAGAUGUCCAUAAUGUUAGGUGAUGUGUGUCUGUCUACUAGGUGUCCAUAAUGUUAGGUGAUGUGUGUCUGUCUACUAGGUGUCCAUAACGUUAGGUGAUGUGUGUCUGUCUACUAGGUGUCCAUAACGUUAGGUGAUGUGACUUCCUGUGUGUCUGUCUACUAGGUGUCCAUAACGUUAGGUGAUGUGUGUCUGUCUACUAGGUGUCCAUAAUGUUAGGUGAUGUGUGUCUGUCUACUAGGUACCCAUAACGUUAGGUGAUGUGACUUCCUGUGUGUCUGUUUACUAGGUACCCAUAAUGUUAGGUGAUGUGACUUCCUGUGUGUCUGUCUACUAGGUACCCAUAAUGUUAGGUGAUGUGACUUCC
rnacentral:lncRNA from 1 species